GACGAACGCUGGCGGCGUGCUUAACACAUGCAAGUCGAACGGAAAGGCCCUGCUUUUGUGGGGUGCUCGAGUGGCGAACGGGUGAGUAACACGUGAGUAACCUGCCCUUGACUUUGGGAUAACUUCAGGAAACUGGGGCUAAUACCGGAUAUGAGCUCCUGCUGCAUGGUGGGUGUUGGAAAGUUUCGGCGGUUGGGGAUGGACUCGCGGCUUAUCAGCUUGUUGGUGGGGUAGUGGCUUACCAAGGCUUUGACGGGUAGCCGGCCUGAGAGGGUGACCGGCCACAUUGGGACUGAGGUACGGCCCAGACUCCUACGGGAGGCAGCAGUGGGGAACAUUGCACAAUGGGCGGAAGCCUGAUGCAGCAACGCCGCGUGCUAGAUGACGGCCUUCGGGUUGUAAACCGCGUUCGCCUGUGACGAAGCGUGAGUGACGGUAAUGGAUAAAGAAGCACCGGCUAACUACGUG
rnacentral:rRNA from 1 species